AUUGAACGCUGGCGGCAUGCUUUACACAUGCAAGUCGAACGGCAGCGCGGGGCAACCUGGCGGCGAGUGGCGAACGGGUGAGUAAUAUAUCGGAACGUACCCAAGAGUGGGGGAUAACGUAGCGAAAGUUACGCUAAUACCGCAUACGAUCUAAGGAUGAAAGUGGGGGAUCGCAAUACCUCAUGCUCCUGGAGCGGCCGAUAUCUGAUUAGCUAGUUGGUGAGGUAAAGGCUCACCAAGGCGACGAUCAGUAGCUGGUCUGAGAGGACGACCAGCCACACUGGAACUGAGACACGGUCCAGACUCCUACGGGAGGCAGCAGUGGGGAAUUUUGGACAAUGGGCGCAAGCCUGAUCCAGCAAGGCCGCGUGAGUGAAGAAGGCCUUCGGGUUGUAAAGCUCUUUUGUCAGGGAAGAAACGGUAGAGGCUAAUAUCCUUUGCUAAUGACGGUACCUGAAGAAUAAGCACCGGCUAACUACGUG
rnacentral:rRNA from 1 species